rnacentral:tRNA from 1 species
GCCCUAGUGGUGCAAUGCAGACACGGCCGGCCCAAACCCGGCUGCCGCAAGGCUUGUGGGUUCGAGUCCCACCCUGGGCACCA